GGGGGCGAGCUUGGUUUCGACGGGGAUGUGGAGCCAAGAGUAGCGAGUCGCUGUGCCAAUCAGCGUUAAAAGUGGCAACUAAAAAUAAACGCUAAAAACGAAACUAAUUUUGCACUAGCUGCUUAAUUGCAGCUAAGCGGUCACAGGUAGAAGGCCCACGAGCUCCUCUGACCUCAAAUUGAGUGGGGAACCGCACACGGCUAAGCUUUGCACCGUGGACGGAAUUCAUGAAGCUACCGAGGGCGAAAUCCUUUCAGCCGGAGUUCGUCUAAGGGAAUAAAAAAAGACUGAAUGCACUCGGAGAAGCUCUUGAGGAAGUGUUUCCGGACGUGGGUUCGACACCCACCGCCUCCACCA
rnacentral:tmRNA from 1 species